GCUUUGGUGGGGUAGUGGUAACCUGGGUCGUUGCCAUGGCCAUGGCCAUGCCGAUGCGUGUCUUUCGACCCGCCGAAGGUUCGAUUCCCUCCCAAAGCA